AACGCACAUUGCGCCCGCCAGUAUUCUGGCGGGCAUGCCUGUCUGAGCGUCAUUUCAACCCUCGCAACCAGCUUGCUGGAUGCGGUGUUGGGGAUCGGCCACCCGUACUGGGCGGCCGUCCCUUAAAUAGAGUGGCGGUUGCGCUGUGACCUCCUCUGCGUAGUAGCAAUAUCUCGCAGGCGGAUAGCGGUGUAACCACGCCGUAAAACCCCCAACUCUUCUUUGGUUGACCUCAGAUCAGGUAGGAAUACCCGCUGAACUUAA
rnacentral:misc_RNA from 1 species